GCUUCAGCUAACAAAUAUUCUUCCGUGAUGGUUUCAACCCAAUCAACCUCCUUACUCUCUUCGGGAUCAUUGGGUUGUUUGCACAUAUUAAAAAUGUUUAGUUCUAAGGUCAUGUUACCAAAAGAAAGCUUCAUGACGCCAUUCCUACAAUUAAUUAAUGCAUUAGAAGUUGCAAGGAAUGGACGUCCUAAAAUGACCGAAAUCUGAGACUGUGAGUUCGAAGCCGGAUGUGUGUCCAAUACGAUAAAAUCGACAGAAAAGUAGAACUUGUCUACUUGGACCAAUACAUCCUCGAUAAUCCCCCUCGGAAUUUUAACUGAC
rnacentral:lncRNA from 1 species